rnacentral:rRNA from 1 species
AUUCCAGCUCCAAUAGCGUAUAUUAAAGUUGUUGCAGUUAAAAAGCUCGUAGUUGGAUUUCUGGGAGGGUGCCAAUGUCCGUCGUCGUACGUGUUGCAGCGGCGCCCUUCCAUCCUUCUGUUAACGACUUUGGGCAUUCACUUGCCGGAGUCGGGCUCAGAUAUUUUACCUUGAGAAAAUUAGAGUGUUUCAGGCAGGCUAGGCCGGAAUACAUUAGCAUGGAAUAAUGGAAUAGGACUACGGUCUCUUUGUUGGUUUGAGGGACUGCAGUAAUGAUUAAUAGGGAUAGUUGGGGGCAUUAGUAUUUAAUUGUCAGAGGUGGAAUUCUCGGAUUUGUUAAAGACUAACUUAUGCGAAAGCAUUUGCCAAGGAUGUUUUCAUCG